UAUUUGGAUUUUUAAAACUUGGAAUUCCUGAAAAUGCUAAGAAAAAACUUUUAGUAUUAAAGGCUGUGAAAUGUAUAGAAAAGACUCUUGUUCAGCAUCAGCAGUUGAAAGAAAAGAAAUUACUGUUAACACAAAAACAGUCAGGUGACAAAAAUGGAGAUUCUCAGUCAGCAAUAUCUGAUCAAAAUAGAGAUAAAGGAAAUGAAACUAUUGAAAUAAAGGAAUUUUCUCCUAAAAUAUAUUGUCAGCUUGGUCAUUAUAAUUUACUUUUAGAAGAAUAUGCAAAAGCUUUGUCUGCAUACCAGAAAUAUCGUGCAUUAGUAGAAGACCAUUGGAAGGUGCUACCUUACAAAACCUCUGGAAAGGAUUAAGAAGCCAAAUAUGUUAUUGUCAGGAGUCAUAACAAUAUAGCUCUGUCAUCAUUUGCAAGCAAAAACAACAAGUUAUCAUGGGAAAAUCUAAGAUUACUGUAUCAACCACUGAUCUAAACAGCAUAAAGUAUAUGGUGCAAAUAAAAAUCAACCUUAGUGACUCUAACAUCAAAUUUAUUAAAAUAAAAAUGUCUUUGAUCAGUUUGACUGAACAUCUUCAGUUACUGAAACUUUAAAGAAAAGAACUUAAAAUAUAUACAGUAGAGCAUCGAUUAUCCGACUCAAUUGAGGACUCAGGUUGGUUGGAUAACUGAAAAAAUCGGAUAACC